rnacentral:rRNA from 1 species
GACGAACGCUGGCGGCGUGCUUAACACAUGCAAGUCGAACGGAAAGGCCCUGCUUUUGUGGGGUGCUCGAUUGGCGAACGGGUGAGUAACACGUGAGUAACCUGCCCUUGACUUUGGGAUAACUUCAGGAAACUGGGGCUAAUACCGGAUAGGAGCUCCUGCUGCAUGGUGGGGGUUGGAACGUUUCGGCGGUUGGGGAUGGACUCGAGGCUUAUCAGCUUGUUGGUGGGGUAGUGGCUUACCAAGGCUUUGACGGGUAGCCGGCCUGAGAGGGUGACCGGCCACAUUGGGACUGAGAUACGGCCCAGACUCGUACGGGAGGCAGCAGUGGGGAAUAUUGCACAAUGGGCGGAAGCCUGAUGCAGCAACGCCGCGUGAGGGAUGACGGCCUUCGGGUUGUAAACCGCUUUCGCCUGUGACGAAGCGUGAGUGACGGUAAUGGGUAAAGAAGCACCGGCUAACUACGUG